GGAUAGCUUGCUAUCGCUGACGAGUGGCGGACGGGUGAGUAAUACUUAGGGAUCUGCCUCUGUGUGGGGGAUAACUAUUGGAAACGAUAGCUAAUACCGCAUAAUGUCUACGGACCAAAGCGGGCUUCGGCUCGUGCGCAGAGAGGAACCUAAGCGAGAUUAGCUAGUUGGUGAGGUAAAGGCUCACCAAGGCGACGAUCUCUAGCUGUUCUGAGAGGAAGAUCAGCCACACUGGAACUGAGACACGGUCCAGACUCCUACGGGAGGCAGCAGUGGGGAAUAUUGCACAAUGGGGGAAACCCUGAUGCAGCCAUGCCGCGUGUGUGAAGAAGGCCUUCGGGUUGUAAAGCACUUUCAGUUGUGAGGAAAGUUUAGUAGUUAAUACCUGCUAGAUGUGACGUUAGCAACAGAAGAAGCACCGGCUAACUCCGUGCCAGCAGCCGCGGUAAUACGGAGGGUGCGAGCGUUAAUCGGAAUUACUGGGCGUAAAGCGCACGCAGGCGGUCUGUUAAGCUAGAUGUGAAAGCCCCGCGCUCAACGUGGGAGGGUCAUUUAGAACUGGCAGACUAGAGUCUUGGAGAGGGGAGUGGAAUUCCAGGUGUAGCGGUGAAAUGCGUAGAGAUCUGGAGGAACAUCAAUGGCGAAGGCAACUCCCUGGCCAAAGACUGACGCUCAUGUGCGAAAGCGUGGGGAGCGAACAGGAUUAGAUACCCUGGUAGUCCACGCCGUAAACGAUGGAUACUAGCUGUUCGUCUAACAUUGGUUAGAUGAGUGGCUAAGCGAAAGUGAUAAGUAUCCCACCUGGGGAGUACGGUCGCAAGACUGAAACUCAAAGGAAUUGACGGGGGCCCGCACAAGCGGUGGAGCAUGUGGUUUAAUUCGAUGAUACGCGAGGAACCUUACCAGGGCUUAAAUGUAGUGGGACAGGUCUAGAGAUAGACCCUUCUUCGGACUCAUUACAAGGUGCUGCAUGGUUGUCGUCAGCUCGUGCCGUGAGGUGUCAGGUUAAGUCCUAUAACGAGCGCAACCCCUAUCGUUAGUUGCCAGCGAGUAAUGUCGGGAACUCUAACGAAACUGCCAGUGCAAACUGUGAGGAAGGUGGGGAUGACGUCAAAUCAUCAUGGCCCUUACGUGUAGGGCUACACACGUGCUACAAUGGCGCAUACAGAGUGCUGCGAACCUGCGAAGGUAAGCGAAUCACUUAAAGUGCGUCGUAGUCCGGAUUGGAGUCUGCAACUCGACUCCAUGAAGUCGGAAUCGCUAGUAAUCGCGUAUCAGAAUGACGCGGUGAAUACGUUCCCGGGCCUUGUACACACCGCCCGUCACACCAUGGGAGUGGGUUGCUCCAGAAGUAGAUAGUCUAACCCUCGGGAGGACGUUUACCACGGAGUGAUUCAUGACUGGGGUGAAGUCGUAACAAGGUAACC
rnacentral:rRNA from 1 species